GCGCCCCCUGGCGGCGGUAGCCGCGCUGCCCCCGGCCGGGGCCUGGCCCCAGUCGGCCCCCAAUAGCCUCCGUCGCUGCCGAGGCGCUCCCGCCGCUCCUACUGCCGCUCCCGGCGCCUCUCGGGUCCGGUGUCCUUGCAAACACCGAGCCGGGCCGGUUCCCCGCCAGUCCCCCCCGGGGCCGCUGGUCGCCGGCAGGUGUCAGGCUGGCACUGGCAAUGGGCAAGGGCUGUGCGCUGUAACCAGCGCCAAGGGCUCCGACGUUCUAGAGGGAGGGUGUAACAAAUCGUCUGUUACAUGGGACGGUUGCGAGGUGAAAUCCCUUUUUCUGUUGGAUUUUACACAAAUUCUGCUUUCGUGCUUUCGUGCAUUCCUGUUUCAGAGUCACAGAACCGUUCGGGUUGGAAGAAGCUCUGGAGAUCUCCCAGUCCCACCCCUGAUUCACCUGGCGCAGGUGACACAGGAACGCGCCCAGCUGGACUGACACAACAACUGAGCCCCACGGAAUUUUCAUUGAUAGAACAGCUGGCCACUGUUUUAGGUCCCAGUUAAGCAUAUCCCGAUUGAUUAAAAAGCUCCCAGUUGGUUAUGUAAGAACUGCACAUGGAACACACACCAGGAGUUGCUGGCAGCACACUACUGACUAACAGAGUGAGAGACCUUUCAGACAUUUCUGAAGCUCUGUGUAGGAUUCUUUAUGGCAACUGUAAAAUGUGUUUUAGGAGUAAGUGCUAACAGACCUCACCAAAGCAGCUGAACUUAAAGGCUUAAUCUUUUAUUCAAAAGUAUGAGUGAACCCCAAGAAAGGGACAGGGGGAGGUACACAGGAAAAGGAAUUCAAAAUUACUGCUAAAAUUCGAAAUUUGAGCUAGAAUAGCACAGGGCAGAGAGAGUUCUUGCCUGCCUUGCCUAACCAGACAUGAUUUUCACACCAGAUAUACCCAUACCACAAAAAAAAUAAGGAUUCAGAGGAACUUUUAAAGGACAAAAAAUAUCCAUGGGAAAUUAAAGAAAUGCCAUCAGUAGAGCUGUGCUGAUGAGGAUACAGCUGAAGAAAUUGAAAGAGAAUUUCACUCACACUUAGUUUUGCUGCACACAAUACCACACUACCUGGAAAAUAUAUAUUUUUUUUUUCUUUAAUCUGCAUACUGCCAAAUCAGCCUUUUUAGAGAGCUGCAAGUAAGAGAUAAAAGUAUGUUUCCUUAGUAUAAUGCAACUGAAUGAAAGAGCUGAAAAGGCUACAUUUGAGGAUCAGAUAUAUUUGGUAAGCUUUUGUAAGCCUAACCCUCCUUUUUUUUAAAGGAGGAAAAAAUUUUGCCACCAAAGAAGAGAAAUGUGGAAAAUAGUGGAGGUUUUUGCGUUACUGAAAUACUCUUCCAAGCCAAUCUCAAUCAUAUUUGUAGUCAAUAUUUUAGUGAAGCAACAGUUUGAAGGAGCUGCAGAAUCACAUUUUUUUUUUGUCCCACUUACCCAAGGGAACAUUUUCUUACCCAUUGUUCAAAUGAAAUUUGCUGACUGCCACAUAAAAAAUGCAUGCAAAUGUUCUGAAGUAAUUUUAGGGUUCAACCUCACAAAGUCCACACAGAGUGUGGGACAGGGCCUAGAAUUAUUCCGUAGACAUAAGCACAGUAAAGUUUGGGAAUUAACAGUUUUGCUUUUUCUCCUUAGCAACUGGAUAGACUGCCUGGUCUGAAUUUAGUUACUCUUCUGUGUUUCCAACAGUUUGAGAGGAUAUUAACUGCACACUGCAGGUCAAUCAAUUCAAGAAUGUUUUCCUACCUGAUCCCUUUCAAAUGAUUCUCUACAUGAACCAUGACCUACUCUGCUUUCAGUUAUUCAACCAAAUUUUAUCAACGUUAUUCAGUUGUUCAGAGGUGAAACACUUAAAAAUGAAAGUUAUUAGAAGCAAUUACCUAUCUCUGAAUUAGCAAAAUAAUCCUUCUCAUUCAUUGCUGUUGUACUUGCACUCUGACAUUUGGCAGGAGCUGUGCUACACAGACACCCAACGCUUCAGUGCCAGCUUUGACUAUGAUACAAACUGAAUUGAGUCAUUAGCCAAAAUGCAACCCAUCAUUUCAUCUUCGAAAAUAUUUUUAAGCUGCCAAAUAUUAUAAAUAUUGUUCCAGCCACCACAUUGAUUUAAAACCACUGAGUAAUCAUAACUGUGUACUCCCUGAGGAUGUUCUAGGAAAUUAUAUACUAGAACCAAUUUCCUCUCUAAUACAGUUGUGGAAAUUCAGGUCAGGUAGCCACUGACCUCAUUGUCUGAAAUUCUGAAAUCUUCACAGCACAAACAUAUUGUGUACCUGGCAACAACACUGCUAUCUCAUGCUGAUUCCUCUAAUGUGUGUAAAUUAAGUUAAACCCACCUUAUUUUUCAUAGAAAUUACUGUAUUAGCUAAGCACAACAGCAUCCACAUUUUUCCCCUGUUGGCCCUCUUUUAGAUUAUGAUAGAGAAAAUACAAACCAUGGCAGAUAUAGGUUUGUUUUUACCUAUUGCCUCUCUCAUGUUCUUCAUAAAACUUUCAUGUGUACAAACUUAUUUUCAGUACAUAUUAUAAAAACUAAAAAGCCUCACCAGUUCAAAAAAAUCCUGGGAGUCUUGCCAAAAACUGCUGUAAAUAAAAAUACAGGGAAAAGAAAGAUAGGAUUCUUAGACAUUAUAAAAUAUAUAAUAAAUAACUGGGAAUGUUUUGUAAUUUACAAAUAUGAGAUUUACUAAAUCACUAUGAUGUGCAUAAUUUUCUUAACCUGGACAGAUAUUGUAGCUUUAUGAUGAACAUGAAGGGUCCAGCACACUUCAGAACUGGACUCAGUAAUGAGUCUUCCAUUUAAUUAGCAGUUUGUCUAGUACUAUCCGAGACAGCAAGACAUGUUACCAAAAUUACUUCUGUCUCUAAUCCAAUCACUCAUUUUGGGAUUAUUUCUCCAGGAUAAGAAGAAGAAAACACAAUCCUGAAUGCAUGUCAAAAUGGACUACAAAUUAAGAGAUAAAAAAACCAACCUUGUUUUCCUCACACCUCUGCAUAAAUCUUGACAUUUUACUCCACUUUGUUCUCCUCCCAGUCCUUUCCUUUUAUGGUCUCUUUUGCUAGAGAGACAAACAAUCUCUAUUGAUUUAUCUAGUCACCUCUGAAAACAUUAAUAUUGAUAGAGUGAAAACAAGUCAAGCAGGUUCCUUUCCACAUAAGGAAUUUUCCCCUGAAUUAUGGAAAUGCAGAAGAGGAUAAAUAGAAAUGCUGGCCUUCUCGUGUUUCUUUAUAAGCUGGUUAGGAAGGGAGGGGAAAAAUAGACAUUUUCUGUCAAUUGCACUGGAGAAAGCCCAGUAGGUUCGAUUCUGGUAUGCAAAUAUGAAUGGCUUUGUUCUUACCCGUUCUUUCAGUCCAGGGCAGAUGAAAUUGCUGUGCCAUGCACAUUCCAGAGGAAUCUGUGCCACUGCUGCGAGGAGCAGAGCACUGAGAACUCUCACCCGGCACUGCCUGCUCUGCAGCUGCCACUGAUAACCAAGACUCUGUCACUAAAUAAAAAUGUCUAAUAAGGGACUUCUGGUUAGCUUUUUUAAAUUAAGACACAGAUUACUAUCUCUUUUUGCUACCAACCUCUUGUUUGUUGGUUGGGUUUUUUUUUUUUACAAAAUGUUUAGAAUUUAUAUUUGAUUUUUUAAAAGUAGUUUCCACAUAGAAACUGAUCGAAAGCUUGACUGUUUUACUGCAAAUGCAGGGAGUAUUCUCUUUAGCCUCAUCUGUUUCAGCAUAAAUAUUUAUAAAUAAUACCUAUACUAGAUUAAUAAAUAUAGUUGUAAUAUGAAUCAAAAUGUCCAACAGUAGGUGGCACAUGUAUUAUGUGCAGUGUGAGUAUUUCACCAUCUUUCUUUCUCAUUUAACCCCACAAUGGGUUUAAAAACACUUACAGCAUAAUCAGUGAAAAGCAAAUACUUGACAUAAUUUAAGGGGAUAAUUAUUUUUAAUUCUAAAUUGCUACAUUUAGGAAGAACAGAAGAAACAGCAAGCAAGCUUUUCAGGAAAUAUUAGGCUAUACAAAAUUAUCUGGAAAAAUAUGUUGAAAGCAGAUACAUUACCAAUGUGUAAUUUAAAAAUGACCAGAACUUACAUGUUUUGAUUCUUGCCUCAUUUUUGGUUUGAUCAGCUGUUUCAAAUAGGUAGCUGUACUAGGCUGAUGAUUAUAAUCUCAGCCUCCACAAUUUCAAAUGGAAUAGCAUCUUCACAUGGGAACAAAAAUGAGGUCAGAAAUAAAAACUAAUAAAAUCCAGUGUUAUGAACACUAGGAGGAAAAACAAAAAUGAAAGAAAGAAAGAUAGCAGACUUUUCCUAUUUCUUCUAGGAAAUAUUUUAUUUGGGGAAUUGAAGGCUCAGGAUAGAAUAUUAAAAUAUCUUUUGGUAUCAGAAAGUAUCAGACCUGCUUCACCAAAGAAGCCCUCACAUUUAUUUACUGCUUACUCAGUAUUCUACCUGCUGCACCAAGGGCUUUGUUCAAAUGUGUCUGAUCUAUUCCAUGAAAAAGAAAUGCUUUCAGACAUGCUGGAUUUCUAGGCUUCAGGAGCACUUUAUCACUUAAAACUUGGAAGAAAAAGACAAGAAGCAGAAUUUCUUGUCAAACACUAUGGUUCUAAUGCUAGAACUAUAUGAGUUCUUUAUACUUUUCUUCAGAACAGUGAUUUAGUCAAAAUAAUCUGACAGAUUUGUUGAAUAUUUGAAAAUCAGUUAAAUAUGUGAAAAUUCUAACACUUCAAAAUAAAUAGAGAAAAAGUAAACAGUACAGGCAUUAAUAACCUGACUUUUCCCUAUCCUACCAUAAUUUACAUGUUCUAGUGUAAAUAAAUGUCAAUUUUGUAAUAAAAUUCCAAGAGUAGUAAGUAUAAUCAGGUAGGGUUUUUUCCCCUUCCCAGUGAUGAUAAGGUUUAAAGUAUAACAUUUCUUCACUAUGUUCUAAACUGCUCAAAGAUCAAGUAAGGCCAGCAGCCUUUGAACUGGGGAGUAAACUCAGCUUUGAACAGAAUAAUUCUCAGGUCUGGUGCUAUAAUUAUCAUUCUCCAAACCAGAAAUUUGCUGCAGAAAUGUUAUUAUCAGUGGUUUCAAUAUAGCUCAACAAAUCUCUUUCAAGGAGAAAGAAUGAUGUGACUUGAACGUGAAUAUAGCAGUCUGAAACACAUAAUUGGCUGCUGGGCCAUUACCAUAACAAUCAUAUAUGGCACAACAUUAACUAGGAGGAAAUGUCUGGAUAUAUGCUCUCAGAGUCACCAGCACUAGAUCUUCAAUAAAUAUUUAAUUUUUUAAUUUUAAUUAUGAUUUACUAUUUGAUUUAAUAUUUCAUUAAUAUAAUUAAUAUUUAUGAAGACUGGAAAGAGCUGUAUUGUGCCUUGAUCAAAUAUGCAGGUGAUCUAAAACUCUGUGGAGGAAAAGGAUAUGGCACUUGAUGCAACUGAAUUAUGGUGACAAGGAAGCACUAGGAGCCAGUGGGAUUUCUGCAGUGUUUCUAAAUAUAGGUGUGUGUAUGUCUAGAUCAUGAACUCCCUGCCUGUAUGCAUGUACACACAUCGACAUACUGUAUGCAUGCACAAUUUAACUGUUAAAAUACGGCUGUGGCACAAGCUGACCCUAAUGACAGUUUAAAGACUCUUGAGCAGAGAAUUCUGCCUAAACAAAUGAGGUAAUGUAAGGGAAAUAAAAAGACUGGGGGCUUAAUUCCAAAGCAUUACUGGGAAAAAAAUCUGAUUCCAGUUAGAAUCUACACAAUCCAGACACUGAAGGGAUGUUUUAAGGCAUAGUGAGGGGAGAGCAAAACACAGAAAGGUAAGAGAGACAGGAAAUAAGGACAUCCUAACUGAGCAGCAAGACAAAGAAAAAAAGGAUGUAACUUUUUUUGUCCAGUAAGUAUCAAGUAAUAAAAUAUUAACUGGAAGAAACAAAAAGCAGACUUUUCAGAAGUUUCAGACUUCAGGCAGAGGCCUGAUGAAUCCCUAGAACAAAGCCAGACUAAAAUAUAAAUAAUACUAGUUUGUCUUCAACCUAGACCUCGGAAGACUAAAACAACCUAACCACAGAGGGUGAAUAAAGAUCUUGUAACACAGUAACAAUAGGAAUAACAAUACCAAGCAAGCAACCACUUAUGUAACAUAGCUAAAAUAUAUCUAUAUCUAUGUAUGUAUGUACACUUGUACUGCAAAAUGGGCAUAUAGAGAUUUAUGGUUCCACUGCACAAAUAGUGUAGAGGAAAAUGUCUGCAAGCAGUAAAAUCUGCACAAAAGACACAGCAGGCAGGAAAAAUGUCCAGGGAAACCAAAUUUAUCCUGUAGAAAAAGCAGAAAGUGUCUCAUCAAGCCAAAGUGAUCUUGCAGAGUAAGGAAGAGAUACGCCUGGAAAAAGCCAGAAUUCCAAGAAAAAUAAGUAAAAUCAACUAUGACAAGAUGCUGUGGAAAACAUAUGGACACUUAUGGAUAGAAAAACAAUUGUAGGGGGCAAAAAAAGCCUCCUUCAGUUCCAUCUUUUCUUGCUGAAGAGCUUUCACCUCUGAGAACCCUGAUUUCUGGAAGUGAGACCAUCAAGGACUAUCAGCGCUGACUAUAUGAGAUCAGGCCAUGGGCUUUCUUCUACUGGUAUUUUAUGGGAAAGUUAAGGAGUUAUACACUGGAUACAUGUAAAUAGCAACUGACAGCAAUUAAGAACUAACCACUGGCCAUGUGCAUUGUAUUGUUACUAUAUACCAAUGUAAUGAAUUGUUGCUUUGAAAUUUGCCUUAUUUAUUGGCUCUAUAAAUACUCCCUUUAUCAUGAGCUCUAAUCCCCUAAAUACAUGCUAUGAUGCAAGGUAUAUACACACUCAUGCAGAUAUGCUGUUGGAACAUUUUCUGUAUUUAUCUCCAAAAAUAACAUUUUGUCAUGAUUGGAAAAAUCUCACGGAGCUUGUCACCACGUUUAAAUAGGUACUUAGAAGUUUUUAAAGCUACUUGUAAAGUUUUUUCAGUUUUUGCUCCAAAGAACAAUCUGAACAAGGACAAGAAACUCUGGAAAGGGAAUAUUAACAGACUGACUAAUUCAGCACCAUGUAAGACAGAUGGACAAGUAAGAGCUCUGUUCUUCAGAAAUAUGAGCCUAAUUUAAAAAUGAUGACUCC